rnacentral:ncRNA from 2 species
UAGGUAGAGGUUCUAGCUACCCUCUAUAAAAAACUAAGAAAAC